GACGAACGCUUGCGGCGUGCUUAACACAUGCAAGUCGAACGGAAAGGCCCUGCUUUUGUGGGGUGCUCGAGUGGCGAACGGGUGAGUAACACGUGAGUAACCUGCCCUUGACUUUGGGAUAACUUCAGGAAACUGGGGCUAAUACCGGAUAGGAGCUCCUGCUGCAUGGUGGGGGUUGGAAAGUUUCGGCGGUUGGGGAUGGACUCGCGGCUUAUCAGCUUGUUGGUGGGGUAGUGGCUUACCAAGGCUUUGACGGGUAGCCGGCCUGAGAGGGUGACCGGCCACAUUGGGACUGAGAUACGGCCCAGACUCCUACGGGAGGCAGCAGUGGGGAAUAUUGCACAAUGGGCGGAAGCCUGAUGCAGCAACGCCGCGUGCGGGAUGACAGCCUUCGGGUUGUAAACCGCUUUCGCCUGUGACGAAGCGUGAGUGACGGUAAUGGGUAAAGAAGCACCGGCUAACUACGUG
rnacentral:rRNA from 1 species